rnacentral:sRNA from 1 species
UAGACAGAUCCAGGCUCACCAGUCCUGUGCCACUGGGCUUUUGGCGUUCUGCACAAGGCCCACCCACAGAUGCCAUGCCUGCUCCCCCAGCCUAAUGGGCUUUGAUGGGGGAAGAGGGUGGUUCAGUCUCUCACGAUGAGGAGGAAAGAGCAAGUGUCCUCCUCGGACAUUCUCUGGGUUGUGAAAUGUGCUCGCAGGAGGCUUUUCAGGCACAGAGGAGCCAGCUGGUCGAGCUGCUGGUCUCAGGGUCCCUGGAAGGCUUCGAGAGUGUCCUGGACUGGCUGCUGUCCUGGGAGGUCCUCUCCUGGGAGGACUACGAGGGCUUCCACCUCCUGGGCCAGCCUCUCUCCCACUUGGCCAGGCGCCUUCUGGACACUGUCUGGAAUAAGGGUACUUGGGCCUGUCAGAAGCUUAUCGCGGCUGCCCAAGAAGCCCAGGCCGACAGCCAGUCCCCCAAGCUGCAUGGCUGCUGGGACCCCCACUCGCUCCACCCAGCCCGAGACCUGCAGAGUCACCGGCCAGCCAUUGUCAGGAGGCUCCACAACCAUGUGGAGAACAUGCUGGACCUGGCAUGGGAGCGGGGUUUCGUCAGCCAGUAUGAAUGUGAUGAAAUCAGGUUGCCGAUCUUCACACCGUCCCAGAGGCUGCCACAUGCAAGAAGUACAUGGCCAAGCUGAGGACCACGGUGUCUGCUCAGUCUCGCUUCCUCAGUACCUAUGAUGGAGCAGAGACGCUCUGCCUGGAGGACAUAUACACAGAGAAUGUCCUGGAGGUCUGGGCAGACGUGGGCAUGGCUGGACCCCCGCAGAAGAGCCCAGCCACCCUGGGCCUGGAGGAGCUCUUCAGCACCCCCGGCCACCUCAAUGACGAUGCGGACA